CCUACGGGAGGCAGCAGUGAGGAAUAUUGGUCAAUGGACGAGAGUCUGAACCAGCCAAGUAGCGUGAACGAUGACUGCCCUAUGGGUUGUAAACUUCUUUUAUAUGGGAAUAAAAUGAUCCACGUGUGGCUUUUUGUAUGUACUUUAUGAAUAAGGAUCGGCUAACUCCGUGCCAGCAGCCGCGGUAAUACGGAGGAUCCGAGCGUUAUCCGGAUUUAUUGGGUUUAAAGGGAGCGUAGAUGGGUUGUUAAGUCAGUUGUGAAAGUUUGCGGCUCAACCGUAAAAUUGCAAUUGAGACUGGCAGUCUUGAGUACAGUAGAGGUGGGCGGAAUUCGUGGUGUAGCGGUGAAAUGCUUAGAUAUCACGAAGAACCCCGAUUGCGAAGGCAGCUUACUAGACUGCGACUGACACUGAGGCUCGAAAGUGUGGGUAUCAAACAGGAUUAGAUACCCGUGUAGUC
rnacentral:rRNA from 1 species